UACGAAGGGGGCUAGCGUUGCUCGGAAUCACUGGGUGUAAAGGGUGCGUAGGCGGGUUUUUAAGUCAGGGGUGAAAUCCUGGAGCUCAACUCCAGAACUGCCUUUGAUACUGAAGAUCUUGAGUCCGGGAGAGGUGAGUGGAACUGCGAGUGUAGAGGUGAAAUUCGUAGAUAUUCGCAAGAACACCAGUGGCGAAGGCGGCUCACUGGCCCGGUACUGACGCUGAGGCACGAAAGCGUGGGGAGCAAACAGG
rnacentral:rRNA from 1 species